AUGCAGCUGACUGGUUUUAGAGGGGAUAUCAGUAUGUUGUCCUCCUCUGAAUGCUGGUCUAGGGGUGAUAGUUUUGCUGCUAUUAAUAUUAUUCAUGCAGCUGGUCUUUGGACUAUCUGGAAUUUAAGGAAUGACAUGGUUUUCAACCACACUCCUUGGCCUGGUCUACAGGUGUUUUGGUGCAGGACGGCAGCAAGUCUUUCUCUAUGGGAGCGGCUGUCCUCCGACUGUGUGAAAUCCCAACUGCAAAACAUGGCGCAAAAGCUGGAAAAGAAGACAAGGGAGCCGCCGCUACUGAUGUGGCCAGACCCAGGCUGA
rnacentral:rRNA from 1 species